CCGCGCGGGUAAGCGCGCUGGAGGGAUCCUGGCGGCGGGCGAGAACGCUAAGCCUGGCGUCUCAGAGCCCCGGGCCGGGCCUGCCAGGGUCCCCUAGACCCCAGGUCCCUCACGCCCUUCGCACGCGGCGAUGGGAUGGCCUCCUUCGCCUCUCUCUGUCCGCGAGAGGAGCUCUACCUCUUAGCCCUUGUCCCCAAAGAGAACAUCCACUUGCUUGGACUUGGACGUAAGAAAUAUUUUUCGCUUAUGGGUCAUUGUAAUUGUUCAAGUAAACUCUGAAAACGUUGGCAGUUAUUCUCACGUGGAGAGGCUCCCUCACGAAUCCAUCACGCUGCGCAGUGUGCCCAUGCGUCAGUAGAGGCAGAAAGUGAAGGAAGACACCAAAGUCACUAGAGCACCUUUAGGUUCACGGCGCAGUUGAGGUGUGGAGAUUUCCCAUAUACCCACUGCCUUCACACGUGCACAGCCUCCGCCGUUUGCAACAUUCUUCGCCAGGGGGAAGAGAAGUAGCAAAGCUCUAAAGGGAGAAUUAUUUUUUUGCAAUUUCCCCCCAUUUCAUCGCUCGUGGUGGAUAUCCACAUGUUCCAGUACCCUAUUUCAAAAAGAUGAUCCUUUCUCCUUUGAGUUGCCUUGGUAAUCUCAUACGGAACUCCGGCUUCAGCAGACUUCUCACCGAGGAAUCCUGUGUCAACAUUUGCAACUCAGAUGCCACGGAACCGUCCACUCAUAUCACCAGCCUGGCGUCUCUCCUGUGAUGCCGUAUGAAUCUCAAGGGCCGUCUUCUUUGCACCGAGCGGCAGAUGAUAUUGGUAGUGAAAACACAAAACACGGAGUCAAGAAGAACUGGUCGCUGCACAUGUCGGUCCUGCCGGGCACUAACAAGGUGA